AGAGUUUGAUCCUGGCUCAGGACGAACGCUGGCGGCGUGCUUAACACAUGCAAGUCGAGCGAGGCCCUCCUUCGGGGGGGUGCCCUAGCGGCGAACGGGUGAGUAACACGUGGGCAACCUGCCCUCAGCUCUGGGAUAACUCCAAGAAAUUGGUGCUAAUACCGGAUGUGACCGCUGACCGCAUGGUCUGGUGGUGGAAAGAUUCAUCGGCUGAGGAUGGGCCCGCGGCCUAUCAGCUUGUUGGUGGGGUGAUGGCCUACCAAGGCGACGACGGGUAGCCGGCCUGAGAGGGUGACCGGCCACACUGGGACUGAGACACGGCCCAGACUCCUACGGGAGGCAGCAGUGGGGAAUAUUGCGCAAUGGGCGAAAGCCUGACGCAGCGACGCCGCGUGAGGGAUGACGGCCUUCGGGUUGUAAACCUCUUUCAGUAGGGACGAAGCGCAAGUGACGGUACCUACAGAAGAAGCACCGGCCAACUACGUGCCAGCAGCCGCGGUAAUACGUAGGGUGCAAGCGUUGUCCGGAAUUAUUGGGCGUAAAGAGCUCGUAGGCGGUCUGUUGCGUCGGCUGUGAAAACCCGAGGCUCAACCUCGGGCCUGCAGUCGAUACGGGCAAACUAGAGUACUGCAGGGGAGACUGGAAUUCCUGGUGUAGCGGUGAAAUGCGCGAUAUCAGGAGGAACACCGGUGGCGAAGGCGGGUCUCUGGGCAGUAACUGACGCUGAGGAGCGAAAGCGUGGGGAGCGAACAGGAUUAGAUACCCUAGUAGUCC
rnacentral:rRNA from 1 species